rnacentral:rRNA from 1 species
CCUACGGGUGGCAGCAGUGGGGAAUAUUGGACAAUGGGGGCAACCCUGAUCCAGCCAUGCCGCGUGUGUGAAGAAGGCCCUCGGGUUGUAAAGCACUUUCAGUGAGGAAGAACGCCUGGUGGUUAAUACCCAUCAGGAAAGACAUCACUCACAGAAGAAGCACCGGCUAACUCCGUGCCAGCAGCCGCGGUAAUACGGAGGGUGCGAGCGUUAAUCGGAAUUACUGGGCGUAAAGCGCGCGUAGGUGGCUUGAUAAGCCGGUUGUGAAAGCCCCGGGCUCAACCUGGGAACGGCAUCCGGAACUGUCAAGCUAGAGUGCAGGAGAGGAAGGUAGAAUUCCCGGUGUAGCGGUGAAAUGCGUAGAGAUCGGGAGGAAUACCAGUGGCGAAGGCGGCCUUCUGGACUGACACUGACACUGAGGUGCGAAAGCGUGGGUAGCAAACAGGAUUAGAUACCCCUGGUAGUC